UACGUAGGCAGCAAGCGUUGUUCGGAAUUACUGGGCGUAAAGAGUGUGUAGGCGGUGUUCUAAGUCUGUCGUGAAAUCUCCCGGCUUAACCGGGAGGGUGCGGCGGAAACUGGAAUGCUUGAGGGUGGGAGAGGUAAGCGGAAUUCCUGGUGUAGCGGUGAAAUGCGUAGAUAUCGGGAGGAACACCAAUUGCGAAGGCAGC
rnacentral:rRNA from 1 species